GGCUGCGAUGGUUCAUGGUUGAACUACCUGAGACCAGAUAUCAAGAGAGGCAACAUUUCCAAAGAAGAAGAAGAGCUCAUCAUCAGACUUCAUAAGCUGCUCGGUAAUAGACGGUCUCUGAUACCA